rnacentral:rRNA from 1 species
AAACUGGAGAGUUUGAUCCUGGCUCAGAACGAACGCUGGCGGCGUGCUUAACACAUGCAAGUCGAACGCGAAAGUUUUCUUCGGAAGACGAGUAGAGUGGCGCACGGGUGAGUAACGC